GAAAUGCGAUAAGUAAUGUGAAUUGCAGAAUUCAGUGAAUCAUCGAAUCUUUGAACGCACCUUGCGCUCCUUGGUAUUCCAUGGAGCAUGCCUGUUUGAGUGUCACGUUAACCCUCAUCAUUAGGAUGUCAAAGUCUUAAUGGUGGAAUUGGAUUGUGCCGUAGUUGGCUCAUCCUGAAAUAUAUUAGCUUGCACUUUUUAGGGUGCUUGGCAUGGUGUGAUAAUUAUCUGCGCCGUUGCCUAAUGCCUCUUCUAUGUGUGCUGCUUAUAGUCGUCCAACAGGACAAUAACUUAAGCUUUGACCUCAAAUCAGGUAGGACUACCCGCUGAACUUAA
rnacentral:misc_RNA from 1 species